UAGAGUUUGAUCCUGGCUCAGAACGAACGCUGGCGGCAGGCUUAACACAUGCAAGUCGAGCGCCCCGCAAGGGGAGCGGCAGACGGGUGAGUAACGCGUGGGAACCUACCUUUUGCUACGGAAUAACUCAGGGAAACUUGUGCUAAUACCGUAUGUGCCCUUCGGGGGAAAGAUUUAUCGGCAAAGGAUGAGCCCGCGUUGGAUUAGCUAGUUGGUGGGGUAAAGGCCCACCAAGGCGACGAUCCAUAGCUGGUCUGAGAGGAUGAUCAGCCACACUGGGACUGAGACACGGCCCAGACUCCUACGGGAGGCAGCAGUGGGGAAUAUUGGACAAUGGGCGCAAGCCUGAUCCAGCCAUGCCGCGUGAGUGAUGAAGGCCCUAGGGUUGUAAAGCUCUUUCAACGGUGAAGAUAAUGACGGUAACCGUAGAAGAAGCCCCGGCUAACUUCGUGCCAGCAGCCGCGGUAA
rnacentral:rRNA from 1 species